UGAAGAGGCAAGAAGGAAGUCUGCCUCACCGCCUCCGAUUCUCCGGUUCAGGUGUGUGUAUAUAUGUGUAUGUAUGUGUGCGCGCGUGCGCGUGAGGUGAAGGGGUAUGCAGUAAAGAUGAGCUGCCUUCUGAGAGGAGACACAAGGCAGGAGGACGAGGAGGAGGAGGAGGAGCUUGCCAAGAGGGCAAGCACCGUGACGUGUGCGGAGUCUCCCAGUCAUGUGGCGACCCUGAGGAAAGUGUGGCAAGAUUAAACGUCCGUGGAAAAGUAGAGUGUGUUGCGCUUGAGUUCCGAAAAGGAGAUGGGAGGAUGCUGCAGGUAGUAGAGCAACACCUGGA